UGAAACGUUGUUGGACAGAAAGGACCUUUAUCGGACGCGGUAAUUGAUAAAAAUGAAAAAAAAAAACGUAAAUAUACAAACAUGAUUCACGAUUUCACAAGCGAGAUAACGCCGUUUUGUCGAUACUUGACUAGGUAGGGUAUUCGCUUAGUGUUGUUUGUCGCGAGUUUGUAUUACGUUACCUACACCUAGCCGGUCUGUCAACAUAGAGCGCGAUUUUUCUGUAGUCGGGUUUUUUGUUUGUAACUCACCUUGGAGAUUCGAUAUCCGGCACUUGUAGGAAGUUACUGCUCUUCUGUUUUGGUGUGGGAGAGAGUAAAGUUGGUGCUGGUCGCGCUAACAACUCCGCUACUGGUACUUGAGGUGAUCCGAAACCCGUCUGGAUUCCGUACAGCAUUUCUUGGAAUACUCUGUAUGAUGCAAAUGUACUGGUAAACGACGUCAAACAGCUGGGCGUUCUGGGCGCAAUUCAGUUCACUGUUUAGGAACACUCGGGUGAAGUCCUUGGCUAGCUGAUCGUAAUCUUCAAACUGGUCUCUCACCGAGUCCAGAAGUGGAGAUGAUGGGCGCAUGUGGCCGAUUGGUCGCCAUGAUCCUGAAGAUAAUAGAAGGUGUUAUGGCUGACGUGAAGAAAUGACAAGAUACAGCAACAUCAACACAGCUUACAUUAGAAGAAACUUGGGUCAUUGGUUGGAUUCUAUACUAUUAUGACUAACAACGCAAAUUAAUGUAGGUGCCUACGUUUAGGUUAAUAGCUAUGAUGAACGUACUCUACAGAUGGCAACAAGAAUGAAACAAAAGAAGCCAUCUCUUUUCUUUUAG